CCUACGGGAGGCAGCAGUGAGGAAUAUUGGUCAAUGGGCGCUAGCCUGAACCAGCCAAGCAGCGUGAAGGAUGACUGCCCUCUGGGUUGUAAAUUUCUUUUAUAGGGGAAUAAAGUGCAGUAUGUAUACUGCUUUGCAUGUACCUUAUGAUUAAGGAUCGGCUAACUCCGUUCCAGCAGACGCGCUAAUACGGAGAGUCCGAGCGUUAUCCGGAUUUAGUGGGUUUAAAGGGAACGUAGGCGGGUUGUUAAGUCAGUUGUGAAAGUUGGCGGCUCAACCGUAGAAUUGCAGUUGAUACUGGCAUGCUGGAGUACAGUAGAGGGAGGCAGAAUUCGUGGUGUAGCGGUGAAAUGCUUAGAUAUCGCGAGGAACUCCGAUUGCGAAGGCAGCCUGCUGGACUGUGACUGACGCUGAUGCUCGAAAGUGUGGGUAUCAAACAGGAUUAGAUACCCUGGUAGUC
rnacentral:rRNA from 1 species